UCUGAUGCUCAAGAGGCUUGAGGCUAAGGCAUUGGGACCAGCACUGAAAAAGCUGCUUCCCUUGCUGUUAUUGACCAUGGCGUGACAUCAUCAUUCUUCAGAGUGACUGGGAUCUUGGACCCAAGGCCUGGAGGGAGUCAGCUUUUCUGCUGAAAGGGAGAAUGGUGCAGUGAAGGGAAGAACAGGAAGCAGAGGAUAUUAAGAAUCACCUUCUCAAAGAAACGACCUGCACUGGAAUCUUGCUGUCAGCGUUUAUUUCUAGGCUUCACCUGGGAUGUCAACCAAGAUGCCAGAUGUGGAUGGAAAGGGAACGUGAUGGCCUGAAUGAUGGUAUAGACUAAAAUCAGAAGAAUAUCUGUGAAAACAACCACUUGUGCCCUACUUCCCUGGUCACUGGGCAAGGCAUGUAAGGCUUCAAGGGGAACACAGAGGGCAGGACAGAAAAACUGCACACACCACUUGCACUCAUCCCUCCUGGGGCUGAAUCUGGUCACAGGGCCACACAGUGAUCUGUGAUGGGCCAUGCAAGGGGGCCCUGCUGACAGUGUGGCUACUCCUCCUUACUCAGCCUUUCAAGAUCUGUUCAAAUCCCUGCAAGGUCAAGGUUCUGGAGCAGGAUGUAGAGAGAUAGAGUCCUUUGACAAGUCUGUGCCGAUAUAAAUUAAUCAAAAUCGACCCAAAUUUAACUUUAUAUCAUAAUUAUUACUGUCUGCCCCCAGGCAAAGUAAAGUGUGUAAAACUCAUCCCCUGGACAUAGCCCACCCCUGGAACCAUGGCCCCUUCUUUCCCUUCCAAAUUCCCUCCAGAGUUCCAGCUGCCCAGAGCUGGAACUAUUAUGAUUAUGAUGCCCACCCCCCUCGCCCCAGGCAUUGACUCACCAACCCAAGUUCCUCUUCCUCGCCUUAAAACACACCUGUCCCAUUCCCCAAGGCUCUGCACACUAACAAUGUGACAGGUUAGUUUAACAUAAAGACGUUCAUGUUGGUUAAGGUUUAACCGUGGCAGCAACCAGGUGGACACACUGACAUCUAACCAGAACCUGUUCACACCUUAUCCAGAGGAUGGAAUGGUCAUUUGCCUGGUGACUGCCACCGAAUCUUAGAUUCCACAUGACAAUCACAUAUUACCUACCUUAGGCUUUUCUUCCAAAACAGAUAGCAGAAGUCAGGCAUCAGUGAGUUGCUCCACAGACGAAUCUUACAACUCAGCAAGCAGAGAUCCUUGUAAGCUCUGUGGUCUGUUUUCCUUCAGACCAUGUUCUUUGGAAUCCUUUUCUUGGUCAUGUUCAGGAAAGAAGCAACUACGUUCCUUUAUUCCACACUGAACUGUUGACAGUACCUGUCCCUAGGGAGUGAGCUUAUAGACCAGGGGACAGUGAAAGGGUAAUGCCAACCAAGGUAUUCUAUUUCCAUAGAGUUUGAAGUUUUCAUAUCAAACAUAUCAAAUUUUGGUAACUUUAAAAAAUAAUGUGCUUUAUGAUGAGCCAUUUGCCUUACCCUGUGGUAUGGACCAAGUAUCUGUCCUAUCUCUUCUUGGGAGUGUCUCUCCAUCUUCGGUAACUGAUCCCAUCCCGAGGGCCUCCUUCUCUCUCGGGGAUGCAUUUGGAUCCUUCCUGCUCUCUGCUUUCUCUAACAUGAUACGCACUGUCUGUCAUCCUUAGUUUCUAACUGCCCCAUAAGUCAGCUGUUCUGAUUUAUUCAAAGCCCUAAUUUUAAGUAAAAUGGGAAUGGAGACCACAUUUAUUUAUCUGCAGUGCCUCAGCUUAGUGCCUGAUGUAGUUGAUCCCAAACCCCCAAUGUUCUUGAGUGAUGGCUGAACCUUCAUAUUCAGGAACUCCUCAUAACCACUGAGUUGUCUUAAUAAGGCAGCC